GCUGGCGAUGACGACACUCUUGCCCUCACUGAGACCAGCCUGGGCUGAUGAGAGCGGAUUUCUGCGCUCUGUGGAGCCGAGCCAGA